UCGCAAAAGAAACAGGACUGUUAAAAAAACAACAAAAAAUUAAUAUUUUUCAAAAGUUAUAUUUUUUUAUUCAAAGUAGUUUCUUUGUGCUUCGAUACAGCGUUUAGCCCGGUCAAUUAGCAUUUCAAAUGAGUGUUUAAGGUAAUUUUUCGGAAUGCUCUUGAGAAUAUCGGUCGUCGCCUUUUGGAUAGCUGAAAUGUCCUGAAACCAGUGUCCUUUCAUGGGCGAAUGAAGUUUUCCAAAUAGGUAAAAAUCACAAGGUGCCAGAUCAGGUUAGUAGUGUGAGUGAUUAUUGGUUAAUAUGGAGUUUUUUGUCAAAAAAUCAGUGACAAGCGUCGACCGAUGACACGGCGCAUUAUCGUGCAACAGGCGCCAGGACCCUGCCUCACGGUAUUGUGGUCGAGCACGACGAAUGCGUGACAAAGUAAAACACAGCAUUAAUCGUUUGGCCAGGUGGGACGAACUCUCGGUGUACAAUACCCUCGGGAUCGUAAAAACAAAUCAGCAUUGUCUUUAUUUUUGACCUCUGAAGACGACCGACUUCUGAUAGUCACAGAGGUCCUCACGACCUUCUUGGAAUCGCUUAAACCACUCAUGCACAUUACUACGUGAUAGGCACUGAUCACCAUAAACUUUUUUCAUCAUUUGAAAUGUUUCAGUAAACGUUUUCACAAGUUUAAAACAAAAUUUAAUAUUAGCUCUUUGCAUUUUACGACCGAUGACCAAAAGCUGCUGUCACUUUUUGAUCGAUAACAUCGAUUGUAGUUAUCAAAUUGUCUUAAAAUUUGUACGAUAUGUCAACAAGAGAUCAAACUUUUUAUUUCAUAUACUCACCAAUAGGUGGCGCCACCAGAAACAGUUAUAUUUAAAAAGUUCUGUUUCUUUUGCGACAGACCUUGUAGAGUUUGGUCUGAAGGCAUUUCCCUGGCUUUUAUCCUAACACAUUGCAAAACUAUAAAAUGUUUGGUUAGAUCGGAACUUAGCCCCGCUUCUUCUUUACUGGCGUAGACACCCCUUACGCGAUUAUAGCCAAGUUAACAACAACGCGCCAGUCGUGACUUCUUUUCGCUACGUGGCGCCAAGUGGAGAUUCCAAGCGAAACCAGGUUCUUUUCCACUUGGUCCUUCCAAUGAAGUGGAGAUCUUCCUCCUCCUUUGCUUCCCCCGGCGGUACUGCGUCGAAUACUUUCAGAGCUGGAGUGUUUUCGUCCAUUCGGACAACAUGACCUAGCCAGCGUAGACGCUGUCUUUUAAUUCGCUGAACUAUGUCGAUGUCGCCGUAUAUCUCGUACAGCUCAUCGUUCCAUCGAAUGCGGUAUUCGAAGUGGCUAACGCGCAAAGGACCAUAAAUCUUUCGCAGAACCUUUCUCUCGAGAACUCGCAACGUCGACUCAUCAGUUGUUAUCAUCAUCCAUGCCUCUGCACCAUACAUAUAGCAUUACGGGAAUCGAACUUAGCCCCUACUUCCUUUUUAUUUUUAUGCUCUGUUAACAUGUUGCUACAGUGUAUAAUAGUUUUUUAGUAGUAGUAAGAGGAAAUUUCAAAUAAAAUGCAAAUUCAUCAGUAUUUAUUUUGUCACCUUGAACUUAAUUUCCACGAGAUUUAAUACACUUAUGCCAACGAUUUUUCCAGUCUUCGUAAGCACUUUUUGGGAUGGCCUACGGCUAUUUCAACGAAUUUUGUUUUAUGUUGUUUUUGUUGCAGGUGUAGAAUUCUUCCGAGAUGACAGUCCGAGGUCCAGUCAGAGGAAGACCUCCACUCUGUUGGACGGACCAGACGGAGAAGCACCUGGCUUCGCUUGGAAUCUUCAAUUGGCGCCACCUUGAGAAAAGAAGAAAGAAGAAGUAAAGAAGAUAAGUCACUCAAUAUUGCGAUCCUUCGAUAUCGAAUAUCGCAUUCGAUGGAACGAUGACUUAUCCCUGGUGGCCCCAUCUAUAUGUCGACUGAUGCGUUAGAAUCUAUCUAUUUUUAUCGAUUGUCCAGUGAGAAUUUCAUGACAUUUCAUAGAUUGGAAGUAAAGGUAUUGCGUUUUAAUUGUCAGUAUGUUUGUGUUAUCGGUGCGAAAAUGAGCCUCGAACAAAGAGCCAACAUUAAAUUUUGUUUUAAAAUUGAUACAACUUUUACCGAAACGUUUCAGUUGAUAAAACAAAUUUAUGGCGAUGAUUGCGUAUCCCGUAGCAGAGUGCACGAGUGCUCUCAACGUUUUCAAAGUGGCCGUGAGGACAUAAAUGACGAUCAACAUGUGGGCCAAUCAAAAUCCAUCAUCACCCGAAAUUCCAUCGAAACUGUGCGUGAAUUCAUCAAAAAUCAGCCGAAAUAUUCAUUGAAAUUCAUGGAAAUGGAAUUGAACGUCUCCAAAACGUCGAUUUAUCGCAUUUUGACCGCACAUUUGGGCUUACGAAAGCUGUGUGCACGGUUUGUUCCGCACGAUUAUUUUACCAAAAAUCACAUUUUAACCAUUAACCACUCCCCGUAUUCACCUCAUAUGGCACCGUGGAACUUCUACCUUUUCGGAAAAAUGGAUUUCCCUAUGAAAGGAAAGCGUUAUGCAGACGUAGAGGCCAUUCAAAAGGCUUGCAAAAUAGAUGGAUUUUGCCCAAAAAAAAAAUCAUUUAUGUUUUACCUGUUUACUUUAGAACGCACCUUGUGAAAUUGAGAUAGUUCAGCGAAUUAAGAGAAGGCGACUCGGCUGUCUUGAUUAUGAAGAUACAUAUUAUUAACAAACUAAAUAUUUUAAUUAAGAUUAUGUACCCUCUCAUUAAUCGUAAAUCUGGUAUAAAUAUUAAAAAUAAACUGAUUAUUUUUAUAUAAUUUUUGGGACAAUACUAUAGCAAAUUAUCACUUAAGGAAAUUGCCAGUGACACAAAUUAAACUUUUAACAAGUAAGGAAGGGCUAAGUUCGGGUGUCACCGAACAUUUUAUACUCUCGCAUGGUAAAGUGAAAAUCGAGAUUUCAUUAUACGUCAUUUACAUAUUUUUCAAAUACCGUAUUUUUGUAAAGUUUUAUUCCGCUAUCAUCAUUGGUUCCUAAUGUAUAUACUCGUAUUAUACAGAGAAGGCAUCAGAUGGAAUUCAAAAUAGCGUUAUAUUGGAAGAAGGCGUGGUUGUGAACCGAUUUCACCCAUAUUUCGUACAUGUCAUCAGGGUGUUAAGAAAAUAUUAUAUACCGAAUUUCAUUGAAAUCGGUCUAGUAGUUCCUGAGAUAUGGUUUUUGGUCCACAAGUGGGCGAGGCCACGCCCAUUUUAAAUUUUUAAAAAAGCCUGGGUGCAACUUCCUUCUGCAAUUUCUCCCGUAAAAUUUAGUGUUUCUGACGUUUUUCGUUAGUCGGUUAACUCACUUUUAGUGAUUUUGAACAUAACCUUUGUAUGGGAGGAGGGCGUGGUUAUUAUCCGAUUUCUUCCAUUUUUGAACUGUAUAUGGAAA